rnacentral:lncRNA from 1 species
UGAGAGUCUUCCGAAACCCAGUCGUCAAACCACCCCACCCAAUCCCGGCAGGUCCUCUUAACGUCCCACGUCCAGCCGACCUUGGAGCGAGGAGCGCCGCCAUGGUCCUGUGUGAGGAGAAGGAGUGCAGGGUGUGCUACCUGCGCUACUCGCGGGCCGAGCGCGUGCCCAGGGAGCUCCACUGCCACCACACCUUCUGCGCCCCCUGCCUGGAGGCCAUGGCGCAGACCAAGAGCGGCAUGCUGACCGUGCGCUGCCCGCUGUGCCGGCAGGUGACCUGCAUGCGCCGCGGCCUCACCCUGCAGGAGGGCCUGUGGGUGGACACGCAGCUGUGGGACCAGAUUUCCGAGGAGGAAGAGGAGGCCGAGGACGAGGGCGGCCUGGACAGACAGGGGGAGCGGCUGGAGGAGGCGCCGGUGACUCAGGCUGAAUGCCGAGCCGCAAAGCCCCACAGGCGGAAACUGAAGCUGCCGCUGUUCCUGAGGAGGCUCAGCUUCAGCCGACAGCCACAGGAAAGGAUCGUGCCAGGCUGCAACGUUGAAAUGAAGUCAUGGCGCCGGCUCUCAGCUGAAGAAAUGCUGUGAACGCAUGGCCAGGCAGGGUUCGAGACGGCACAUCCUGAGAGAUGUGUGCCACCGGCACCGAUGUGGAGGGAGCAGGGACGGCGGACGCUGCCGUGUGUUUUGUGCUCAUGAAAGGGGGUGCGAGACCCUCUCAUUACCUAUUCCCUUCAUAAUCCGUCACAGCUGCUCCUGCGCGAUUCGGAAUCAGCUCUCCCAACGGAGGGGGGAGAGAAAGAAGGAGACGUAGAAAUAGAAAGGGAAAAAAGAGAGGGGUUGGUGGGGGUCAUCACAGAUGCCAUCCAGGCACACCUCAACAGAUGGCCUCCAGGGUCCUGACACCUCCCCAUGGACACAAUCACUUCAUCCACCCUCCAAAAGAACCCUUUAAAUGAUCUUUUUUUUGUGCCUAUAUUUAUGUCUUUGAUAAAUUAUUUUUCAUUAAAAAUUCUAGAGAAGCUAUUGUCUGUGUGUGGGUGUGUCUGCUCUGCUUUUCAGCGUAUUGAGAGAAAAAUGUCUCCUGCCCCAGACGGUGAGGGGAUUAGUGUCAUUUUGACCUUCUUUUCAUGUUUAGUCAGCUCACAUUAAUAACACUGCAGACGAGCCUGGAGAGGGACUCCACUGAACGCGGCCAUCUGUGAGGUCUUAUGCGGCGUCACCCCCAAGGCCACGUCCACAGCGUGUCCCCAUUCACCCCACUCAGACGACGCUUCAUUUACAUAAAACUCUGCGGCCACGUUCAGUAAAUACACUUCCCUGUAUGUCACAGACGGUAAAAAAAAACACAACACUUUCAGUAUUAAUAAUGUCAUCAUUAAUCACGUUACUGUACUUCACUGGCUGUUAGCCUCCUUGACCCCCUGUUCAAUUACCCAUGAGGUGAAGCGUUAAAGAGAGCCAAGAGGAACCCCGAGAUUUCUCCCCGGCCAAAACGCAGGCGAGCGAGCAGACGAUGCCCCCACAAAAGAGCUGCUCAGCCGUGAAAGUGGAUUCCGAACGCUUUUCAU